rnacentral:rRNA from 1 species
AGAUACCCUGUUACUUUUAAUUAUAAGAUUUUGGAAUAGUAGUAAUAAUGAAAUUUAACGGAUUUGGCGGCAAGAUAGCUAUUUAGAGGAACCUGCCCUGUAAACGAUGAACCACGAAUAACAUUACUUUUAUUUGUAAUCAGUUUGUAUAUCGCUGUUGUCAGUUAGUUUCUUUAGAAAACUUUCUAUUAUAAAAAAAUUAAAGACUUCAAGUAAAGGUGCAGCUAAUAUAGAAGUUAGAGGUGGGUUACAUUGUAUGAUUAAUACGGAUAAAGUUUUUGAAAUAACUUUUGAAGGUGGAUUUAAUAGUAAAGUUUAUAAAAACU